rnacentral:lncRNA from 1 species
CGGCAACCUGCCUCCUUCUGCCAUCCCUAUAAAUAGGAGGGAACAGGAGCAGGAACACCUGUGGGACUCCAGCUCUGCAGGAGAGGCAGGCAGGGAGGGACAGAGGGAGCUGCUCCUUGUUGCUCUCUCCUCCCUUUGAGCUUCCUAGUGCUCUGCCUGUGUGGGGGCCUGAGGAAUGGGGACUAGGGGAUGGACGCUCUCCACCUUCCUGGGAUGCUGCGUAUGGAUUCUGCAUGGGCUUGGGGCUGCUGCUGCCCCUGUCACUACCGAGGGGCCCUUUACUGUGGGGACAGCUUUUCCCAUCACAGCAGAGAAUGAAGGGCCCAGUGCCCUGGUGACGGGCACUGCGGACACAAGCACCACGGUGGCUGAUGCUGAGAUAGACGAGAGCAUCUUCACGAGGAGCCCAUUGAGUUCGACCUUCCCUCCCGGGACUGAGCUGGACUCUUUUGUGACUGCGACAAGUGAAUAUGGCUCUACAGUGCCAACCUUGAUGAAUGUGACCAAGCCUCUUAACACAUCUCAGGGUAUUGAGGGGGGGUUGGCUGCUUCCACUACAGCCACAACUGCUGCUGCUAUCACUGCACAACACCCUGCUGUCACCCCAGAAGCAGAGCAUGAGGUAAUAGAGGCCACUCCUGAUCCCACCCUAGACAUCACCCCAGAUGUGAAGGAAGACAUCCCUGCAGCUGUGACCAGAGGAGAAGAAGACAUAGACCUCACCACUGGCAAUAUGUCUUACCCUACCGCCCCUCCACCAGCAGACACCUGGGUGCCACAGCCAACUGCUGGCAGCCCCGUGGGUCUCAGUGUCACUGUGUUACCAAGCCAAGGGCUGACCACAGCCAUGGGAGCAGUCGAGGAAGUCGUAACUCUGUCUGCAUCUGUCCAAAGUGGAGCCAAUGCCAACUCCUUAAGUCCCAGCCCCAGCACUGAGGAGCUGCUUACGACCCAGCAGGGUGGAGUGGUGAGCAGGGUUGAGGGCACUAACCCAGAGACAGCAGAAGAAAUGGCCCUAGCUGCUGAGGAAAAUCCCUUGGCUUCAGAGUCUGGAGAUGCAGGAGAUACAACAAAUGGUGAAUUCAGCACAGUCGGCUCAUCCCACCUACCUCCGGAGAGCCCAGUGAUGUUAGAAACAGCGGGACACCCUGGGGAGCCCUCCUUCCUCCCCGGCCACACAGUGCUGAGCCCAGACGCUUCGCUGGCACCGUCCACAGGGAAUGGAGAUGGGCAGGGAGUGUCAUCAGAAGCUUCUGGUUCAGCCCUGUCACCUGCAGCCAGCGAGGCACCAGUGGCACCCGAGGAAACAGAGGACACUGCCACAACACUGCUGGCCCCAGAGGUUCCCACUUAUGCACAGAAUGAUAUGAAUCUCCCAACCGUGGCCACUGUGCUGCCCACAGGGGACAUGGGGGCUGUGGGUCUGGACAAUCCAUCCCUGCAGCCUGACCCAUGGCAGACCUCCGUCGGAGAAAAGCCACCACUGCUUCCUGAUGCUCUGAUGGACACCCCCAGUGCUCCUGGGGCUGCUUACCCACCCCCAGGGGCUGAAGCCAACACCCUGUCUGCAGCUGAUGGUGCAGCAGAGACACCAUCCAGCCCCGACCUCACUACUGCCCCAGAAGCACCCAUGUCUCCAUCUCUCGGAGAGUCACAGCCCAGAGGGAUGCCAGAUGGACCUCCCCAAGAAUCUGAUGGACCUGACACUGGCUUGAGUUCAGAUUCAGAUGCCCCUAGCCCAGCCCUCUUUGUACCUGAUGGACUGGCAUGGCCCACUGCUGGGGUCCAAGGUCAGGGAGCUCAGGGGGCAGAGGACACGGCACAGGCAGGAGGUCCAGGGGAUGGCAGUCCCUAUACAGACACCCAGAGUGACAUGAGCCUUUCAGACACCCAGCCCUCAGCCUCUCCUGCUAAUAAUGGAGAGCUUCUGGCUGGAGGAACAGAUUUGGCAAGUGCUGGGCAGUCCCCUCCACCAGCUCUUGGGGGGGGAACAGGAGCAGGAGAUGCCCCGGCACUGGGAGAAGUGUCCUCAACUGGUUCUGUACCUCCCAGCAGUUCUGGAAUGGAGCCCGAUCUCUCAGGGGCUGAAGGACCAGUGGACCUGCCCAGUGAAUCUGCCAAUGGUCCUGGGACUGUUUACCCACUCCCGGGGGCUGUGCCUGGCCCUGCAUCUGAGACAGAGACACCAGCAAGCCCUGACCUCAGUGGUGCCCAGGGAGUACCUGGGUCUCCAUCCUUUGGUGGGUCACAGCCAUGGGGAACAGCAACUGGUGCUCCCCAGGGAGCUGGUCUCCCUGGAGCUGAAGGACCAGACUCUGGCUUGUCUUCGUUAGGAGAUGCCCCCAGCUCAGCAGUUCAUGGACUGGCAGGACCCCCAUCACCUGCCCUUGAGGACCAGCUUGGCACAAA